UAAAGAUUAUAAAGUAACGUUUCGCUUUUCAUCGAUUAUUGCAAUUAUGUCAUUAAAGGGUAUAGUUUUUUAUUCAUCUUUUACUUGAAGAAGUAUUACCAAUGUAAGGUCGAGUCUGAAGAAAUCGCAUGCUGUAAGUUUAACAUCCAUUCUAUGCAGUCGACGUGAAAACUCUUCUAACUAAAACAAGUAUUUUUGUAUUCCUGAUUAAAAAUA